rnacentral:rRNA from 1 species
AUUGAACGCUGGCGGCAGGCCUAACACAUGCAAGUCGAGCGGAUGAAGGGAGCUUGCUCCUGGAUUCAGCGGCGGACGGGUGAGUAAUGCCUAGGAAUCUGCCUGGUAGUGGGGGAUAACGUCCGGAAACGGGCGCUAAUACCGCAUACGUCCUGAGGGAGAAAGUGGGGGAUCUUCGGACCUCACGCUAUCAGAUGGGCCUAGGUCGGAUUAGCUAGUUGGUGGGGUAAAGGCCUACCAAGGCGACGAUCCGUAACUGGUCUGAGAGGAUGAUCAGUCACACUGGAACUGAGACACGGUCCAGACUCCUACGGGAGGCAGCAGUGGGGAAUAUUGGACAAUGGGCGAAAGCCUGAUCCAGCCAUGCCGCGUGUGUGAAGAAGGUCUUCGGAUUGUAAAGCGCUUUAAGUUGGGAGGAAGGGCAGUAAGUUAAUACCUUGCUGUUUUGACGUUACCAACAGAAUAAGCACCGGCUAACUUCGUG